rnacentral:sRNA from 1 species
AAAUUGUUAGGUUAAAAGCGGAAAUAUUUAGGUUAAAAAACGCGUUAAAAAACGAUAUAUUUAAUCCUAAACCCUACCGAAAAUUAAAACACCGAAAACCAUUAAUGGAAAAUAUAUUUGGCGGAACGAAUUUUAAAAUAAAAAGGAUGGCCGUUUAACCAAUUUUUACCGAAUUCCAAAAAAUAGACGGUAUAAACCCUAUUUAUAAUAAUAAAACAAAAACCAAAGCCGAUUUACCCCCAAAAUUCGUAAAAAAUAAAACGCAAUUUAAUAACUGGUUAAUAAAAAUGGUCGACAAAUUCGAAAAAAUAUCGCCAUUUUUAAAAUUGAAAAAAAUCGGAUACGUUAUUUAAUAAAUUUGUUCGAGGACAAAACCGAAAAAAUAAUAAUUAUUCGUUACGUUUUAAUUAUACGCCCCUUUUUAUUAACAGCCGAAAUAAUCCAAAUUUUAAAAUUUAUAUACCACGACCCCAACCAAUUUAUAAUUGCCAAAAAAACCUUUAAAAAAUACGAAUUUAAAUUAGGUAAAGGUUAAAAUAUUUACGAAUUUAUUACCACGUUUAAUUUAUUAACCUAACAAAUAAAAGUUCGGGAAAAAAAUUGGAAAUAAAUUUUGUGGGGAUAUAUAUCCGCCGACCUCGAUUACCGUCUGUUAUAUAAUAAUAAGAAUAUCGAUAUAAAUUACGAGACGUUUUACCAAUACGUUACCAAAGCCGUUUAUAAUAACCAAUUGGUAUAAAAAAGGCGCAAAAACCGAAAAAGCACCGACAAAACCAGUACGAAAAACGAAAUCCGGAACAGGCAAAAAACAAUUUCGACGAAAAUCCGUUCGCGUUACAAAUCCAAAAAUUAUUAAAAGGAUAAAACGGAAUUAAUUACAAUAGUUAAAACCGGUCGUUCAUUAAUUUAUAAGGAGAAAAAGGCGUAUUGGGAUACCAAUACCUGUUUUAUAUACGGAAAGGGUGGUUAUAAUUCCAAAAAUUGUUCCGAAAAAAAGAAAAUAAAAAAUAUUAAACAGUAAAACCGAAAUAAUAAACAAAUAUUUUAAAUUUGGAAAUUAUAAACGAAUCGGGAAAAGAGUAAAACCGCCGCAAAUCUCCUCGAUGGUCCAAAUAUUUAUAAUAAUUUAAAUUGGUAAUAAUCCACGAUUUAAAUCUUUUAUUAUUCAAAUUUAAAUAUAAAUUAAUAACGUAAUAUUAUUAAUUAAAAUUUUUUAUAAUACCGGAGCAGAUAUUUCUUUUUUAAUUAGCCCAAUAAUUGUUAAAUAAACCGCAGAACGGUUAAAAGCCCGGUUUUAAAAAUUAAAAACCCCGUUAUUUUUGUCGGAUUACCGCAAAUAAAAUGCAGGACGCAUUACGUAUAAAUUAAAAACGACCUUGGAAAUCGAUGGACGCCGAUUUAAUAACCAAAUAUUUUACGUAACGGAAAAUAAAUAUAAUAUAUUUAUUAGGCAGGAUUGGCUAAUUAAACAAAAUAUUUAAAUUUACCCGAAAACGUAAACGUUCGUAUAAUUUAAAACGAUACCGUCGUUGGUAAAAUUUUCGCCAACCAUUAAAUUUCCAAAUAUAUUAAACAAACCCGAUCCGGUUAUAUAAACCGAUAUAAAACGGCGCGACCGAAUAUUCGAACGGGAAAUUACAAAAAUGCAAAUAUUUCGACGACCGUGGCGCCAAAUAACCUUUUUAAAACCCAAAUUAAAAACCCCGGUCGUUUUGGAUAAGGACCAAAACGUUAUAAAUAUAACUGCCUUUUAAUACAAAUUAAAUACCGACCCCUAAUAAAAAUAAUGGAAAUUGUACCUAAUAUUUACGCAGCCCAUUACAUUAAAAAUUAAACCCGAAAAACCCGCCAUUAGCCUAUUUGCCGUCGGCCGUUCGUACCAAUGGAAAACUAAUAAAAAAAAACCGAUCCCGUUCCCGGAAAAUAAAAACCCCGACCAUAUCGAACUAAUCCGACGCAAAUUACCAUCCCGAUUUAUUUACCUGGAGGGAUUUUUUUCGAAAAUAAUUUUAACCAACCUACCUUUAUAUCGCCCAGGGUACAAUAUAAUUUUGGAAUUAAAUAAGCCAAAAACAGGAUUAUUUCCGACGUAUAAAAUAUUUGUGGAAUUUCUGCCGUUCGAAAAAGAAAUAAUCGACAAAUUAUUGCGUAUUGGGUUUAUCGAACUUUAUAUAUAAACCGACCCAGCGCCUGUCCUAUUUGUACCUAAAUUAUAUUUUAAAAAACGCCGUUUUUGCACCAAUUACCGAUAAAUUAACCAAUUUUUGAAAAAUCAAUUUAUAUUAGCCCCGGAUAUUAACGGAAUUAUUUUUAAUUAUCGCAAUGCAAAAAAAUUUACGAAAAUCGAUAUUAUUCGAACGUUUAACCGGUUACGUAUAAUUAUUAAUUUAAAAUAUUUCAUUGUUUUUCGUAUCCGAUAGGGUAUUUUUUAAUGAAAAAUGUUUUUUUUUGGGCUAAAGGUCGGCCCAAUUUGGUGGCAAUUAUUUAUUAACGUUUAAUUAAAUAAAUUUUUGGAUUUAUUUACCAACGUAUACGCCGACAAUAUUUUAAUUUAUUCCGACGGAAACGAAAAAAAAUAUUGGAAUUAAAUAAAAGAAAUUAUUUACCAAUUAAACCGGGUCGAUUUCCAGGGAAAUAUAAAAAAAUCUCGAUUUAACGUUACCACGGUCAAUUAUUUUGAUAUUAUUAUAAACGCAAAUUUGGGUAUUUAUAUCGAUCCAAACAAAUUGCAGGUAAUUAGCGAUUGGAAAUUCGAAAACUUUACGUCCAAAACAGCCGUGCGUUCCUUUUUGGAAUUGUGCAAUUAUAUUCGAAUAUUUUACUAUUAUACCAAUAACGUUGUUAAACCGUUAAACCGAUUAUUAAAAAAAAACGCCAAAUUUGCUAUGGGGCCAAAAUAAAAACAAAUAUUUAAAAAAAUAAAACGUUUAACCUGCGAUAUACCGGUUAUAAUAUUUUUUACCCCAGGCCGACCGACCAAAAUAAAAACCGACGUUUUACGUAACGCGACCGGCGGAAUAAUUUGGUAAUAAUAACCGGGUGGAAAAUGGAAAUUUGUGGGAUAUUUUUCAAAAAUAAUAACCCCAGUAAAACGCGCAUAUCCGAUCCAAAACCGAAAAUUAUUAAUAAUAAUUUAAACGUUGGAAUAUUACGAACCAGAAUUAUUGGGGAUAAAUUUUUUCGUGGUUAUAAACCACCAAAUUUUAAUUUAUUAUUUUAUAAAACGAUUUUUUUCAAUUUAAUAAAUACGUUGGGCAAAUUUCCUGGCCAAUUUUAAUAUUAUAUUUUAAUA